rnacentral:lncRNA from 1 species
CUUUGCUUUGUCAUUUCAAGGAGAGUCAUUCAAGGUCUCUAAGUAAGGGAGUGAUAAAAACAUUGUUUUAGAAAGAUUAAUCUGGAAGCAGUGUGUAGGCUGGUUUAGAAGGGGAGAGUUUGGGAGUAGGAAUACCAGAACAGAAACUAUUAUAUUCAUCUGGCCAUGCACUAGGGCACUAGGGUAGGAACGGACAGGGGAGAAUGGAUUUGAGAGACUUUGUAAAGAAAGUCAACAUAGUAACAGAUUGGAUGUGGGAGAUGAGGGAGAAAGGAGGAAAUCAGUGAAAUUAAGUUUUUAGCCUGGGCAAUUGGGAGAAUAAUGGUAUCUUUUAAAGCAGGAAUUCUUAGUCUGUAGUUUAUAAAUUUAAAAAAAAGUUUUAAUAACUGCAUUUCAGCAUUAUUGGUUAAUUCUUUAUAUAUUUUCUGCAUUUAGAAACAUUUUUCUUUGAAGGGGUUUAUAGACUUCACCAGACUGCCAAAGAGAGAAUGCAGGGCAAGAGGUCUUUUUGUUUUCCUAAAAAGUGAUGUAAUGGAAAUCCUCUGAAGAACAGGGGGAAAGUUCAAGCCUGCUCAGUGUCUGCUCCAAUUCAUUGGGAGAAUCUGCAGAUUUGUGAGCGACAUCCUCACUCUUUCAUUGGACAUCUUUGCAGCUACCACUACACAUGGCUUCUACUCUAAGGCUCUAAUUCUUAGAUUGGUUUCUUUGUGGAAUGAAUAUGAGGAUUCCCCCUCCACCCUGAUUGAACAGAACAACUGAAAACAACCUCUGAGAGAAUGAUAUCAUGAAGAUGCAGCCAUUCUGGUCAGACCAAACCAAGAGAACCAGAAGAGCAGAAUAGAAGUCAUGUGGAAAAGAGAACUUUUCAGAGCAGCAAAGUUAAGUAACAUUGUUCUCCUCUGGGGAAGGAAUAACAAAGGAUCACAAAUUAUAGAACAUUAGAACUGAGAAGGAUCUUAGGGCUCAUCUAGUCCAACCCAGUAGGAGAGCUAGGACUAUCGAUCAAACACUAAACAUUUUUUAAAAGCACCUACUGUGUGCCAGGCACUGUACUAAGUGCUGGGGAUACAAAAAGAAGCAAAAGACAGUCACUGCCUUCAAGGAGCUUACAUUCUAAUGUCGGAGACAACAUGCUGACAAAUUUAUACAAAGAAAGCUAUAUGUAGGAUAAAUAGGAAAGAACAAGGGAAGGCACUGGGAUUAAGGAGUUGGGGAAGGCUUCUUAUGGAAGGUGGGAUUUUAGUUGGGACUUAAAUAAGGGUUCCUAAUAUCCAUUCUGGUGUUUCCCCCACUGUCUUGUGUUGCCUCCAAACUAGACAAGUAACACUGAGCCUUCUGUUUAGUGAACAAUAAAUUACUCCUUUGAAUGAAUGAAUUCUACUAA